CCUACGGGUGACUGCAGUCGAGAAUCUUUCACAAUGGGGGAAACCCUGAUCGUGCGACGCCGCGUGGGGGAAUGAAGGUCUUCGGAUUGUAAACCCCUUUCAUGUGGGAGCAAAUUAAGAUGAUAGUACCACAAGAAGAAUAUACGGCUAACUCUGUGCCAGCAGCUGCGGUAAUACAGAGGUCUCAAGCGUUGUUCGGAAUCACUGGGCGUAAAGCGUGCGUAGGCUGUUUCGUAAGUCGUGUGUGAAAGGCGGGGGCUCAACCCGCGGACGGCACAUGAUACUGCGAGACUAGAGUAGUGGAGGGGGAACCGGAAUGCUUGGUGUAGCAGUGAAAUGCGUAGAGAUC
rnacentral:rRNA from 1 species